UACGAAGGGGGCUAGCGUUGCUCGGAAUCACUGGGCGUAAAGGGUGCGUAGGCGGGUCUUUUAAGUCAGGGGUGAAAUCCUGGAGCUCAACUCCAGAACUGCCUUUGAUACUGAGGAUCUUGAGUUCGGGAGAGGUGAGUGGAACUGCGAGUGUAGAGGUGAAAUUCGUAGAUAUUCGGAGGAACACCAGUGGCGAAGGCGGCUCACUGGUCCGGUACUGACGCUGAGGUGCGAAAGCGUGGGGAGCAAACAGG
rnacentral:rRNA from 1 species